CGUGACCCAGGGCAGACUGGUAGCAAAGCCCCCACGCCCAGCCAGGAGCACCGCCGAGGACUCCAGCACACCGAGGGACAUGCUGGGCCUGCGCCCCCCACUGCUCGCCCUGGUGGGGCUGCUCUCCCUCGGGUGCGUCCUCUCUCAGGAGUGCACGAAGUUCAAGGUCAGCAGCUGCCGGGAAUGCAUCGAGUCGGGGCCCGGCUGCACCUGGUGCCAGAAGCUGGGAGCGGCUUUGGGUCCUCCAGCCCACGCCACCGCGGCGAGCAGUCCCCGGAGGAGAAGCCGGGUGGCUCCCGUCUGUCCUCGGACUGAGCAGGGUGGCCAGGCCCCAGGUGGAAACUACCUUGGUCAGGCUGGGUUUUUUCCCUCCCCUUUCUGGAGGUUUUCAGCUCCUCUGAAAUAAACACCUUUCAGUGAGA
rnacentral:lncRNA from 1 species